AAUAUACACAAAUAUUUCGAAGAUUCAUGGAGGGGGGUAGUUUAAAGAAAUUAGAUUAUCUUUGGAGGAGGGUACAGCACAGUGGUAGGGUGUGUACUAAACAUGUAUGAGAUCCUGGGUUCAAUUCCCAGUACCUCCAUUAAAAAAAAAGAGCUCUAAAUACAGU